GAUGAAGAACGUAGCGAAAUGCGAUAAGUAAUGCGAAUUGCAGAAUUCAGUGAGUCAUCGAAUCUUUGAACGCACAUUGCGCCCUGUGGUAUUCCGCAGGGCAUGCCUGUUCGAGCGUCAUUUCAACCCUCAAGCUCUGCUUGGUGUUGGGCCCUGCCCGCUGCGGCCGGCCCUAAAGACAGUGGCGGUGCCGCCUGGCCCUGAGCGUAGUACAUCUUUCGCUCCAGUGCCCGGUGGUAGCCUGCCAGAACCCCAACUCUCGUGGUCGACCUCGGAUCAGGUAGGGAUACCCGCUGAACUUAAGCAUAUCAAUAAGCGGAGGA
rnacentral:misc_RNA from 1 species